UGGAUCGCUGAUGCUAUUUUGGCUCCCUCUACUGAACUCUGUGAGGAGAUUGCCAUUGUUACCCAAUUUGUCUGCGAUGUC
ensembl:snoRNA small nucleolar RNA SNORD100